CUCACAUUACUAAACCAUCGGUCAUCACCAAGAACAAAAACGUAAACAAAGCCAAGCGCUCCCACUCAACCAUAGAUGCCCUCAAGAUGCUGCAUGGCACCACCCAUUCUCGGUUGGAGGAGCCUCCUCCUCGCGACUAAGACGGUUCCAUCUCCCCCACUGGGAAAGCUUACUCACACUACUCUUAACUGAUAUAUCCUCCCUCAGCCUUUAAGACCGAAACCUGGCCGCCGUCUUUAAUAUCUACGCCGUCAAAGCAGAGGAUUUGUUUUUCUGGAAAAGGGUACAGGCGCCGCGGAAAGUUAUGCUCUACCAGUCACUUAUUGGUAGAGCUCGCAUGGAAACACGGCCUUCAAAAUAAACAUACGCGGUGCGCGUGUGUAUGGUCACUUAGUCCUGAGGAGCUCCAGGGGAAAAGAAGGGAUGGGACAAAAAAGUAAACUAUACCAUCUAACUAAUACUCGCGACCUUUCUGAUUUUAGGCAAACGACGAGGACAAAUAAGGCUCUCGGGUCUAACUCCGGAUAAAUUCCUCGUUCCUCCCCCCGCCAUAUUUCAUGGCCUCUCUCAAAACUGGGUCAUUGGAUAUAUGGGGCCAUUUAAGGUAAUCCCAGAGCGAACCGGGAUUAAUCCACAAAUGUCCAGAUCGCCCGCCAGAUUCUUCCCGCUGCUGCAACUAUCGCCCUAUCGACCUAACCUAUCGAUAAAGUCCCUCCCAUUAUCGACUCCAA